UCAGCGGGUCGGACGGCCGCCCCGUACCUGCUUGGUAUUCUUGUAACAGUUAAUUGAUGAAUACGAGAAUAUGAAGCAGGUGCGGGGAGGAAAGUCCGGGCAGAACAGGGCGCGGUGAUGGCUAACGGCCACCUCCCGUACUUACUUGGUAUUCUCUUUUGAUUUAAAAUUCAUUUUAUGAGAAUAUGGAGUAAGUGCGGGACGGGAAAGUGCCACAGAAAAUACACAGCCUCCGGGCAAUGGUGAAAAGGUGCGGUAAGAGCGCACCGCGAUUCUGGUGACAGAAUCGGCAUGGUAAACCCCACCGUCUGCAAGGCCAAGUAUGCUGAAAUGCUCGGCCCGAGCGUUAUUUCAGCGGGUAGGCUGCUUGAGCCGAUCGGUAACGGUCGGCCUUAGAGAAAUGGCCGUACAAAUACAGAACCCGGCUUAUAGACCCGUUGGACAA
rnacentral:RNase_P_RNA from 3 species